UGCUGCACUGCACCUCAUUCGCAGGGGGCCUCUUCGCCGGAACUCGCUUUCAGGCUACAAGAAUCCAUCCACCUACACCCCUUCUCCACCUGGGUGUCUCUCAGACCCAGAAAAUGGUGCCAUUGGCCCACUGACAACUAAAUGUGGGGACAGGUCUCUUACAAGCCACUGGGUAGUAAAAGCAUCCUGAGGUGGCAUACCAUAUCGCAUAAUUGCAUUAAGAAAGGCUUUUCGCUGACGAGCAUUAAAACCAAGUACCUAGGGGAAGAAGAAACCCAGGUGAGAGGCAGCAGGUCGCAUUCCACCAAAGAUGCAAUAUCUGACACUCACCCCUCCUUAGAAUCGUAUGGCACUUACUUCAAUAUUCCCACCAACACGGGCCAACAGAGGAGGCAAUGGCUUAUCUUUAUCAUUCCGCAGGCCCUUACGACUGGGCCUACGGGGAGCUGCAAGAAGAAAAAGAUGAAUGAGUGACACAGGUAGGAUAUUAAACAAAGCAACAUUUAGAAAAGCAACAAAAAAAGCACAGCCCUCACCUUCUGAACGUUCAUCAAAGUCUUCAUCACCUUCCUCUGAAGCCACUGAGUAAUCGGACUGGUUGUCGGACUGGUCGUCCUGCCAAUCUGGAGGGAGAGAGGGCAGAUGAGCGGGGCCCACUGCUCUAGUGGAACGGCCCAUGGGUGGGGGGCGGGGCCGGCCACACACACCUCGGUCCUCCUGGGAGCCAUCAUUGUAGUUGACCUGUUUACGGAUUCUUUUUCCUUUGCCCAGAUUUCGGGCUAGAUCUUCUUGCUGCUGCUCAUAAUGGUGCCGCAGCAAUUUCUCCCAGUAGUCAGGAUCCACACUUUCUUCCUGUUUAAUGAUUUCCCGUUCUACCUCCUCUUCCUCCUGGGACAGAGGGAGGGCCAGGACUCAGGAGUGCUGAAGUCAGCACCACCAGCUACCCCUGGUCCUCACAGUUCCCACUCUGCUAGCUCCUUUUCAUGACUGGACUCUUAAAUACUUGGUGUGCCUGUUUGGACCUAAGAACUUAGAAGAAAUUUGAUUGAGAGUACACAGCUCCUCAUAAUUACAUAUAGAUUAGCAGUCAGCAUAACUCAAGAAAAACAUGGGAUAGAGCUAUUAUCACAGGUAAGGAUGAAGAGACAGAAUGCUUUCUUCUAACCCCUUGCACUGAUGCAUAUACAAUUGAAAGAUAGCAAAAAGAAAAGAGGUCAGAGCCUUAGCAAGGCAGAAUGGAGAAACUUCUGAAGUACUGUAAAAGAUUUUCAUAAGAGAGAAGGAAGGAGAGGAUGACUAUAAGCCUUUCUAUUCUUCAUAAACUUCAUAAAAGCUUACCAACUGUCUGCAGAACGAAAAGAAUUCUAUAUAGCCUCUUAUGUCCCAAAAACGUUGAUACUCCUCUAAAAGUGAAUUUUUUUCAGACACUUGAGGACCACUCACUGAUUCCACAUCCCUUAUAUUGGAAUUAAACAGCUGCUAAUAGCAUAACAUUAGAAACAACCUAAAAGCCCAUCAUUAUGGAACUAAUUAAAUAAAUUACAAUCGGCCCUCUGUAUCCACGGGUUCCGCACCUGUGGAUUCAAACAACCAUAGAUGGAAAAUAUUCAGAGAAAAAACAAAAUUAUGUCUGUACUCAACAUUUACAGACUUUUUUCUUGUCAUUAUUCCCUAACCAAUGUAGCAUUUACAUUGCAUUGGUAUUACUUUUAUGUUUACAAGGAAAAAAAAGUCUUUGGGUACAUAUAUGUGAGUGUACAUAUAUGUGUAUGAAUAUAUGUAUAAUUUGUAUACACAUAAAAUAUUUUUGGAAAGAUAUAAAAGGAACUGAAAACAUUAGUUGUCCCCAAGAAGGGAACUAAAUUGUUAGAGGACAGGAGAGAAAAGAGAUACGUGUGUGUACAUAUAAAUAUAUAUAUAUUUUUUUGAGAGAGGGUCUAGCUGUGUUGCCCAGGCUGGAGUAGAGUGGCGUCAUUACGGCUCACUGCAGCCUCGACUGCCAAGUUUAAGCAAUCCUCCCACGCAGCUGGGACCACAAGCGUGAGCAACCACACUCGGCUAAUGUUUUUAUUAUUUAGAGACGGAAUUUUACCAUGUUGCCCAAGUUGGUCUCCAACUCCUGGGCUCAAACGACCCUCCUGCCUCAGCCUCCCAAAGUACUGGGAUUCUAGGCAUGAGCCACCGUGUCUGGCCCUUUUGUGUAUUUUGAACUAUGUAAAUUCUAUCUAUUAAAAAUAAAACUUAAAAAUA
rnacentral:lncRNA from 1 species